UCCAUUGCUCAGUUGGUAGAGCACAAGGCUUUUAACCUUGUGGUCAUGGAUUCAAGCCCUAUGAUGGAG
rnacentral:tRNA from 1 species